AGAUCUUUUCAAACUCAUAACCGGAGACAUUUAUGGAACAGUUACUUCCGAUAAUCUCGCUGCAUUUGUAAAAAAAGAUGAACGAUUUAAAAACGCAUUAGGCAGAGCAAUUGAUGAAAGCCCGACAGGAGAAGUUGGCUUGGAUAAAUUUAUACGGAUAAGAAAGGAAAAUUCAAAACGUUAAAUAAUAAAAUGCAAUGCUGUUGUUCCAACCCUGCUUUCAUAUAAACAGAUUUUUCCCAUCUUUUCAAGUUUUGAUUGUAAUGUGAGCAGAAACGAUAGUUGAAAUCCAAAAAUUUUGAAUUUAAAUUCAAUUAAAAAAGAAUGUUUUUGUGCAGUGGAAAUAAAACUAUCUUUUAUUGCAA